rnacentral:lncRNA from 10 species
GGACAUAGCAAGAAGGCCCAUCUAGGAAGCAGAGACCAAGCCCUCACCAGACACGGCAUCUGUUGAUCUUCCCAGCCUCCAGAACUGUCCCACCUCUUAACACUAUUGCAUUGGAGAUUCAGUUUCCAACAUGCGAACUUUGAGGGGACACGUUCAAAGCACAGCACCUGGUCCAGUUCUGAGAAAAACAUUCCCACAGACGGACUUUCUCCAAAAUAUCUGACUAGUACUCCUCAAAACUAUCAAGGCCAUCAAAAACAAGGAAAAUCUGCGACACUGUCACAGCCAAGCAGAGCCUGAGGAGACAUGAGGACCUGAGUGUAAUGUGGGAUCGUGGAUGAAAUCCUGAAACAGAAAAAGUGCAUUAGGG